rnacentral:misc_RNA from 1 species
UUUCCGUAGGUGAACCUGCGGAAGGAUCAUUAUUGUAUAACCGAGGUGCGAGGGCUGUCGCUGACCCGAAAGGUCGUGCACGCCCGAGUGCUCUCACACACAUCCAUCUCACCCCUAUGUGCACCACCGCGUGGGUCCCCCUUUGGCUUGUUCGGAGGGGGGCUUACGUUUUCACACAAACUUUGUAUGCAGUGUAGAAUGUGUUUUUUGUUUUUGCGAUCACGCAAUCAAUACAACUUUCAACAACGGAUCUCUUGGCUCUC